rnacentral:lncRNA from 1 species
AGGUGGUUCCUCAUGCAUCAACUAUACCCAUUCUCCAAUUAAUUAGCUUUAUUACUUUAAUAUUCGCCCACCUACAAAAAUAAUCUCUGCUUAAAUUUUUCAUUCUAGCCACUAACCUAACCAGGAUGUUAUUAUUCUUAAUUUUUAUGCAGACUGUGUCGUUGCAUGGGAGAUGCAACGUUUUCAAGGGUGAAAGCACUGAUUCAUCUGAAUUGCUAUUUUCUGUGAAGAAAAUCAAGAAAUCACCUGGAAUUACUAAAUUAAACGUGUUCCUCGCAAACAACCAAGACAAAAAAAAAAGUGACUUUAGAAUGAUCAUUUUUGGAAGUAAAAGGUCGUGCACUGUUUAUGCCGGUGAAUCUCCUAACAUCGUAGCCAAAGUAUGAGUACUGAGUUAGUAUAUCUUUCUUAUUUAUAUUAAUAUUUCUUUGUUUUUUUUUUAUCAGCCAAAAAAUAAUUAAAUUAAAUUUGAGACAACCCUUAUACUAUAACAACGCUCUUCCCUCAUGCUUCCUACAUAAAACCAAAAUUAAUAAACUAGGAUGAUACAGAAGAUAACGCAUAACAAAGGGUUUGUUUCCCUAAUCCUAGAUAGGCAUGGGCUUGAAAACUGAGAAUACCUCGCAAAAAACCAACAAAACUGCGCCUUCAAAUUAGGCACACAAACUGCUCUUGCAAAACUUGUGAUAGCAUAACUAACCUGCACCUACUAAAAGGGUGCAUCACACCACACAACACCGCAACAUCCCCUUAGAAUUAGGUUCCUGGCCAAGAUUUACUCCUCCUUCUUCACUCAACACGUCCCUGCCUAUAGUUGUAGCCCUGUACACGCUGACCUGGCAAAAGUGGUUGUAGAUAUCGAGUCUACUUUUUAUUCAGUCAACCGUAAUGGGCAGGGCCAAGAUGGAAUGUUGGAGGCCCAAUUUGGCGUUGGGAGGGACCCCAUAGUUGCUCAUGACUAUGAUGAUGGGCCAAGGCCCGAUAUGGAGAUCUGCGUGAGAGAGGAAGAAAGUGAUGCCCAGAUGUGUGGGGAACAGGGGACACAAACAGAACCGAACGAAGUUUCUGAUGACUACGAAGACGGGCCAAGAACCGAUAUGGAGAUAUGCGCGAGAGAGAAAGAAAGUGAAUCCCAGGUGUAUGGGGAACAGGGGGCACGAACAGAACCGAACGAACGCGAAGGAGAUGAUGUCGAAAAAUGCCAUACGCACACCGAAGAGCCUAGGGGAGGAAGCGCACAAGCAGUGAAUGGUGCGGCGAGUGAGAAGGAGGAUGAAUACGGGAUUAUGUAAGAAGAUGAACUUUUUAGAUACGAGGAAGGUGAUAACUCUGGAAAAGGGAACCAAUCAGGGGAUUUUACGGCGCGAAUCACAGGCCCGAGUAAAUCCCCAAUUCGUCAACGCAAGGAGAAGGGGCUUACCGAACUGGGGGACUCAGCAUCAAUCCAAAGGAGGCGGUCUGCAAGACUAAGUGAGAAACAAGCCCUGGUAGGCCCUGGUAAACAUCACCAAGAAGGUAAGAUUUCUGCCUCAAUCUCGGAUGGUGACAUAAAUAAUUGCAAUUACCGUCUUUGUGAACAAGUCCAUGGGGCGGAACCAGUACAAUUGUGGGAGGUGGGAAAACUAACAGGGCUUGUUUGCCAUGGGGAUGAAGAGGAAGUUGUCCAAGAAUACGUGGGUUUGGAAGAGAGGGAUACUAAGGAGGUGAAACAUGCUAAGGAGGGGGAUAGGGAAGUUCUGCUAUGAUAAUUAUAAAUCUGAACAUUAGAGGAAUGGGGGGUGGUACCAAGGCUAGGUAUUUGAAUCAUCUCAUAUCUAGGGAGGGAGCAGAAUUUGUUUGUUUACAAGAAACUAAAGCAAUGCAGUGUUCGGAUGCCAAAUGUUACUCGCUUUGGGGGGAUAACAAAGUUGGAUGGUUACACUACAAAGGGGACAACGGGGGAGGAAGUUUGCUCUCGAUGUGGCACAAAGAUGUUUUCAUCUAUGAUAGUCAUGUGAUGGGGAAGGGGUUUAUAUUCGUCUUUGGACUGCACGUUAAAGCUAAUUGUAGGUGUGGGGUGGUAAAUGUCUAUGCCCCAUGCUCAUUGAGGGAGAAGAAGGUGUUGUGGGGGGAACUGACACGCAUCAAACUGGCUUAUCAAGAUUUGAUUUGGUGUUUUUUUGGCGAUUUCAAUGCUGUUAGAAUCCUAAGCGAAAGGAAAGGAACAAGGGAAAGGGAGUCUCAAUCAAGCGAAAUAAGAGAUUUCAACCGGUUUAUUGACACCAACCUGCUAAUUGAGUUACCUUAUGUCGGGAAGAACUUCACAUGGUUCAAUUCCAAUGGGAUGGCCAAGAGUAGGCUUGACAGAGUAUUGGUAUCCGAAGAUUGGAUGCAUAUUUGGCCAAGCUGCAAACAGUAUGUGCAACGCAGGGAAGUCUCUGAUCAUUGUGCCUUAGUAGUAAAAUCCGUGGAUAAGGAUUGGGGCCCUAAACCCUUUAAAACAAUUGACGCUUGGUUGUCUGAGAAAGGAUUUAUGAAGAUGGUGAAGGACAGAUGGUCGGCUUAUCCAGCACAAGGGAAUAGCUUCAUGAAGGUUAAAGAUAAACUGAAAUGGUUGAAGGGGGACUUAAAAGUGUGGAACAGGGACACUUUUGGCAAUAUGGAGACGAAAAAGAAGAGGAUUCUACAAGAGAUUGAGGAUUUGGAUUGCCAAGACUGUAAUGGCAACUUUGUGGAAAGUGAGAGACUGAGAAGGAUCGACUUAGUGGGUCAUCUGAAGGAGAUUGAUAAUAAGCUAGACUCUCUUUUACGUCAGAAGUCUAGAGUGAGGUGGUUCAAGAACGGGGACUCAUGUACAAAAUUCUUCUACUCAACUCUGAGGUGAAGGAGAAAAAGGAAUGAAGUGAAGGGUGCUGAGGUUGGGGGCCUGUGGUGUGAGGAGCCUAGCACAGUACGAACGGAAGCAAGAAGGUUGUUUGAUAAUAGGUUCAAAGCAACAAAAGACUUACGGGUUAGACUUGAUGCAGUUGAGUUCAAGUACCUAUCUAUGUCAGAUAAUCUGAGCCUGGUAGAGGGAUUCACUGAGAAGGAAGUGAGGGAGGCGGUGUGGCAAUGUGAAGGCUCAAAAAGCCCAGGACCUGACGGGUUUAACUUCAACUUCUUAAAGAAGGGAUGGGAGUUCGUGAAGGGUGACUUCAUGGAAGUCAUGAACUUAUUUCAUGAAACAGGGCGUAUACCGAAGGGGUGCAAUGCGUCCUUCAUUGCACUUAUCCCUAAAGUAAAGAAUCAUGUUCUUCUUUAUCAGUACAGACCAAUCUCCCUUGUAGGGGCUAUGUACAAAAUUAUAUCCAAGGUGUUGGCUGAAAGGAUCAAGAAAGUUUUGCCUACGGUUAUUGAUGAUUGUCAGUCGGCCUUCCUGAAGAACAGAGGGAUUUUAGAUAGCGUGUUAAUGGCUAACGAAGUGAUUGAGGACAUCAGAAGAUGUGGGAAAAGUGGGCUAUGCUUAAAGGUGGAUUUCGAAAAAGCCUACGACUCGGUUAGAUGGGAGUUCCUCUAUGAUAUGCUGAAUAAGAUGAGGUUUCAUAGAAAGUGGAUCAGGUGGAUUCAAGGUUGUCUAGAAAGCGCCUCUAUCUCAGUAUUAGUGAAUGGGAGCCCGACAGAAGAAUUCCAACCUAAGAGAGGGUUGAGACAGGGAGACCCACUAGCUCCCUUUCUUUUUCUGAUUGUUGCGGAAGGAUUGGCUGGGUUGGUAAGGCAAGCAGUGAAGGCAAAUCUACUAUCCGGUCUUAGGAUUGGUAGACAAGAGGUCGAGUUAAGCAUUUUACAAUUUGCUGACGACACUUUGUUUAUGUGCAAGGACUCCUUUAGUAAUGUGGUGACUUUAAAGGCUAUUCUCAGAGGGUUUGAGAUAGCCUCUGGUCUUAAGAUUAAUUUCCAUAAAUCCAAGCUUGCAGGCAUUAAUGUGCCAAGGAACAAUAUCAUAUGUUACAUGAAGACUUUGAACUGCGAUCAGAUGACAGUGCCUUUCAAGUAUCUUGGAAUCGAGGUGGGAGGCAACCCAAGGAGGAAGAAAUUUUGGGAGCCAGUCAUUGACAAGUUAGAAGCUCGGCUUAGCACGUGGAAAGGGAGAUUCUUAUCAAUGUCAGGCCGAAUUUGUGUCAUCAAAUCUGUUCUUAAUGCCGUACCCCUAUACUACUUAUCCUUGUUUAGAGCUCCGGUCUCAGUCUGCAAGAACAUUAUUAGUAUCCAAAGGAGAUUUCUGUGGGGUUGGGGGAAGGAAAAAAGGCCGAUAUCAUGGGUAAGUUGGAAAAACGUGUGUAAACCAAAAGAGGAGGGAGGACUGGGUAUCAUAGACAUACGUGACUUCAACUAUGCUUUGUUAGCCAAAUGGAGAUGGCGUUGGCUAUCGGAUGAGAAAGGAAGAUGGAAGGACAUUUUGGAGUCGAAAUAUGAUGGAGGAGGCGAGGUUAUGCAAUCCUCUCUUAAAUCACAGUCAUGGUGGUGGAGGGAUCUUCAUAAAGUAUGCACAGAAGGAAUAGGAGACGGAUGGUUCCAAGCCGAAAUGGGAUGGAUCCUAGGAUCCGGUGAAAAAGUAAAUUUUUGGGAGGACGUGUGGGUUGGAAAUUCCAACCUCAAAUCUUUAUUCCCCAGGCUGUAUUCUAUAUCUUGUAAUCAGGGCCAGACAGUGAAAGAAGUAGGUGAGUGGGAAGGGUCAGAAUGGCGAUGGAAUUUAAGGUGGAGGCGUGCCAGAUUCGAGUGGGAAUCAGUGUUGGAAACGGACCUAAUAAUACACAUAUCUAGGGCGAAUGUUAAAAGGCAGGAGCAAGACAUUCGGGUGUGGGGGAUCAAUGAAAAGGGGUGUUUUUCUGUAAAAACAGCAUAUGCAAGCCUAACUAAGAGAGGUGAUGGCACCCAUAAUGAAGUCUUUAAACUAUUGUGGAAGGCCAAGGCUUUUCCCGCUGUCACGAUCACUGCAUGGAGGGCCUUGUUGGACAGAUUACCAACUAGAGAGUCUUUGGAGAGGAGGGGAGUGACGAUGGAAUCAACGCUGUGCGUUUUAUGCCAAACUAAAGCUGAAUCUUGUCACCAUUUGUUUCUAGAGUGUGAUGUGGCUGUGCGUGUGUGGGAAUUAUGCUAUAGAUGGAUUGGUAUUUUAUCCGUACAACAUAAUGCCUUAAAAAAUCACUUUGAAAGCUUUANNNNNNNNNNNNNNNNNNNNNNNNNNNNNNNNNNNNNNNNNNNNNNNNNNNNNNNNNNNNNNNNNNNNNNNNNNNNNNNNNNNNNNNNNNNNNNNNNNNNCGAAGUAUUUGGGAGCAUAGGAACUUCAUUGUGUUCAAACAAGGGGUUGCAGAUGCAGAAGAGAUGUUUCAACAAGCUCAGCUUAAAUCUUGGUUAUGGAUGAAGAACAAGGCACACAAGUUCAACUACUCUUUUGUGGAUUGGGUUUUAAACCCAAUGCUUUGUAUCAAGAGUUAUAAGUGAAGAUAUAUGGUAUAGGAAUGUUAGGAGGUCCUGACGAUGAUCUUGUGCACAGAAGGAUGUACAGAGCUACAAAGGGUACACUUUUGUUGUUUAUAGUUUGGUUGGUACUCUCGGCCCAAUCGGUGUUUUGUUCAAAACUGCAGUUAUGAGCUAUAGGUGGAAUGGAGGAGUAUUAGAUGCUGGACGUGGUUAUGGACAUGGCUUUGGACACUCGUUGCGCUCUCUGGGGUGAAUGGUGCAAUGGACUGGAGUGAUAGUAUGGGUAGCUGAUGCUGCUAGAUGGGGUAGGGAUGGCCUGGAACGGUAUGCAGUAAAUGCUACAUUAGGUGGGUGGGGCGGAAUGGUGAUGCUGUAAGGUUGGUUUGCUGAAGCAAGGUCUUGGACCGAAUGGGUGAAAAGGCUUUGAUGGUGUCACAGCUUUUGGGUGCAGUAAGGGGCAUCACGAAGUAGGAACGCUUUGGUUGCCUUUUCACAUGUGUUAUGGCAGGUCUUUGUAAUCAUAGCAGCAACACUCAAUUCUCAGGGUGCAACACGGACACUGUGCUGAACGUGGAGGUAGAAUCUGUUAGCAAAAUGUGGUAAAAAGUGAAUGGGUCCAUGAUGCUUUUCUGGUCUAAGAAACUGAAAGUGCCUAUGGCUUUCGGUGGGAGACUUGCAUCCAACUCUGAAGCAAUUAUGCAGUGGUCAUUUUCUUAGUUUUUCCAAGUGGAUCACGCCUGAGGUGGGGCAGGGGUUUUUCUUAUAGCUAAGUUGUGUACUCACUGCUGUAGUAUAUUCUGUCAUAUAUAGUUGUAUGCUUAAGCUUUGAACACUUUUUGUAUACGGGUUGGGACACCCCUGAAGUGUCCCGUUCUAUUUCAUUAAUUCAUUGCUGAUAAAAAAAAAACAAAUAUAACCAGAGUAACCACCCUUCAUCCAACUUCCAUGUAUCAGAUUAUUUGGUGCCAUCUGAUUACAGCACCUUCAACUGCACCUUACAGAGCUCCCUUCACAAAACUUAUCCACAGCACAUGAUUUGAACCAUACAAACCUUGUGCCACCUUGCAUGUCAAGACCAGAAAAGUGGCUUCUAUUUAGGGUCAACUUCAGCUGACAAAAGGCUUCCCGAAUUCCGCCAAGACCAGAGUCAUACAAGCAGCUUGGUUGCCACUUAGUAAAAGAGCUUCCUACGCUUGGUUAAGGCAUUUGAACAUUUUUCCAAUGGAGCACGGCUCCAGAUCCACAUCUUCGUAGAUGAGGUUCCUCCCUAGGAAAGCAAGGUGGUCUAGUUCCACCCAAAGCCAGUAAAGUCCAACUGUAGCAGACCUGCAGCAAGACACCCUUAAGCAGCACCAGACAACACCUAGAAAACAAAAAGCAUACAGCUCCUAGACACAAUUCAACAACAACUUUGAAGUCUCUUAGACUUCUGAACCUUGUCCACACCAGCUUGAACUUGUGCAAGAAUCCCUCGUGAUUCGCUUAAGCUUCAUUACAAUCUUCUUAGAACCUGUACUUAAUUCUACUUUCACUCAGCAAACCUUCAGAUCCCUUAAUAUGGCAAGACAAAUCCUAAAAUCUAAAACAGACCAUCAGGAUCAAAUUUUCCAACAUCUCUCAAGCUGGCCAAAAAGCCCAAAUCCAUAUGCUUCUCUUGAUAGCCCCAUACUAGUAGCCAUUACACUUUUUGAAUUUUUACAUUCAAUUGUGUAGCUUUGCAUACUAGAUUCAUAGUUACUGUCCCACCAACACCUCCAUCUGUGUCAUGGCCCUAUACUUUCACAUUUCAUAUGACAGCAACACCCUCUUGGUCCUUAAUUCCUUGCCCAAUAAUCCAGCACAUUAGAAUACCUGCAGAAAAAUGCGAGUAGAUGUUUUAUAGUCCCUUUCACACCAAACUCCAUUCUAAAUGCACAGGGCCAUGACACGGGUUGGUGUUGCUCCAACUAUAGGGUGGACCUCUCAAAACCCACCAGUGCCUAGCCCCCAAACUCCAACAGUCCUCUAAAGUGAGCUUUAUAUUGGGGGGAAUACUACAACAGUUUGCACUCCCAUCCUGACACAGCCCCCACUUAUUCCUCCAACCAAUUAGAGCUGAUCACUAAACCCUAUGUCCAGGCCUUUAGACCAGAUAUGCCAACAAACCUUCCGUUUCUCUAGGGACCACUAGAUACAUCACUUAACCCCACUUACUUAUAGCUUCCAAUGCAGAUAAGUGGGUUCAAGACCCAAUCCACAAAAGAAUAGUUGAAUGUGUGUACCCUAUCCUUUAGUCAUAGUCACGACUUGAGUUGGACCGUUUGGAAUAUCUCUUCCGCAUCAACUAUCCCUUGCUUAAAAAUUAUAGAGUUCCUGUGCUCCCAGAUACACCUCACUAUAGCUGCCAAAACACCUUUCCACAAUAGGUUUUGUGUACUACUGGCCUGAGAUAAGUAGAAAUUCUCAAAGUGAGUCAUAAGAUCAUUGUGUUGGACAAACAAGAUACCAAUCCAUUUAAAGCACAACAACCAAACAGCCUGGGCAACUUUGCAUUCUAGGAAUAGGUGUUGGCAUGAUUCAUCCUUAGUCUGACACAACGCACAUAAACUUGUGUCCAACGUCACCCCUCUCCUACUCAAACUCUUUCUUGUUGGGAUUCUUCCCAAGAGUACCCUCCAUGUUGUGGUUAUCACAUUGAGGAAUGCUUUAGCCUUCCACAGGUACUUGAACACAUCAUGAUGAGGACCUAUUACAUGCUUAGCUAGACAUUCAUAUCUGAAUUCACAAAGAACACCCUUGAUUCAUCACACCUCCACUUCUGUAUAUCUUUAUCUUCUGUAGACAUGUUAGCCCGAGAAAUGUGCAUAACAAGAUUUGCUUCCAUGACGGCUUCCCACUCGAAUCUGACUCGCCUCCAUCUUAGAUUCAACUUCCAUACUGAUUCUUUCCACAUUCCAACCUCUUCCACCUUUUGGACCUGAUUUAGAGACAGGAAGUACAACCUGGGAAACAAAGUUUUGAGGUUAGUAUUACCAACCCACACAUCCUCCCAAAAUCUAACUUUGUCUCCACCUCCUAUUUUUCAUACUAAUUCUUCUUGGAACCAACCAACUCCUCCUCCCUCUCUACAUACUUUAGAUAAGUCUCUCCACCAACAGGUUUGGAAUUUCACUGGUGUAUGUGAACUGUCUAACUCCAAGCCAUACUUUGAGUCCAGAAACUCCUUCCACCUUCCUUUCUCUUCUGAUAAGAGACGUCAUCUCCACUUAGCCAGGAGAGCAUAGUUAAACUUUCGUAUAUCUUUGAACCCCAGUCCACCUUCCUCUUUCGGUUUACACAGGUCUUCCUAGCUUACCCAAGAGAUUGGUCUCUUCUCCUUUCCCCAACCACAUAGGAACCUUCGUUGAAUAAUGAUUAUGCUUUUAUAUACCUAGUCCGGCUCUUUGAAGAGGGAGAGGUAGAAAAGUGGUACAAUAGUGAUAACUGAUUUGAUUAGACAUAUUCUCCCCGUCAUGGAUAGAAAUCUCCCUUUCCACACACUGAGUCUAGCUUUUAACUUGUUUAGAAUAGGCUCCCAAAACUGCUUCUUCCUUGGGUUCCCUCCCACUUCUAGGCCCAAAUAUAUAAACGGGACUCCCAUCUGCCCAUAAUUCAAGGUCUUUGUGUAGCAUACAAGAGCGUUUCUAUCAACAUUGAUGCCUGCUAGCUUGGAUUUGUGAAAGUUAAUCUUCAAGCCUGAUGCUAGCUCAAAGCCCCUAAGAAUAGCCUUCAUAGUUACCACAUUGACAUAGGCAUCCUCACAUAAGAAGAGAGUAUCAUAUGCAAAUUGCAUGAUACUAAUCUCUACCUCCUUCCUUCCAAUCUUAGUACCUGACAAUAGGUUGGCCUAUUGGCUUCCCUUACUAACCCGGCUAGGCCUUCAGCUACCACAAUAAAGAGAAAUGGGGCUAAUGGGUCACCCUGCUUCAAACCUCUUGUUCGUUUAAAUUCCUCCGUAGGACUCCCAUUAACUAGCACGAAGACGGUAGCGGAUUCCAUACAGCAUCAGAUCCAUUUUAUCCAUUUGCUGUGGAAACCCAACCUGUGAAGCAUAUCAUAUAAGAAAUCCCACCUAAUCGAGUCAUAAGCUUUUUCAAAAUCCACCUUAAAGCACAAUCCUUUCCCGUCGUACCUCUUCAGAUCUUCUACCACUUCAUUAGCCAUAAGCACACUAUCCAGCAUCUCUCUGUCCUUUAAAAAUGUUGAUUGGCUUUCAUCGAUAACCGAUGCUAGCACUUUCUUUAUUCUGCCAGCCAACACCUUUGAUAUGACUUUGUAUAUUGCGCCCACUAGUGAGAUAGAACGAUAUUGUUCUAGCUUGGUGGGGUCUCUUACUUUAGGUACUAAUGCAAUGAAUGAUGCAUUACACCCUUUCAGAAUUUGUCCUGCUUCAUGAAAGUAAGCUAAAGAUGCAACAAACUCAUCUUUGAUAAAAUCCCAACUUUCCUUAAUAAAGUUGAAAUUAAAUCCAUCAGGAUUAGGACUCUUUGACCCAUCACAUUGCCAUACUGCAUCCCUCACUUCUUCCUCGGAGAAAACAAAUAUAAGACUCACGUUGUCUUCGGGGGAAAGAGAUUUAAACUCUACCGCAUCGAGUCUUACCCCGAAAUCUCUUGUUGCUUUAAACCUAUUUUCAAAUAGCUUCUUCGCUUCUAUUAGAACGGUAUUAGGUUCUUCACACCAUUGGCCCCCAACCUCAACUCCCUUGACUUCAUUUUUAAGUCUUCUCCACCUUAAGGAAGAAUGGUAGAACCUAGUGCAGGAAUCCUCAUUCUUCAGCCAACUUGCUCUAGUCUUUUGACAUAUAAGGGAUUCUAUCUUUUUAUCAGUCUCCCUUAGUCGGUUCGCCAGUUCAGUUCUUUUCAACCUCACACGUCCCAAGAGAUCACCAUUGUCGUCGUCUUGGCAAUCUAGGAUCUCUAUUUCCUGCAGGAUGCUAUUCUUGGUUGACUCUAGGUUCCAAACACAUCUUUAUUCCAUAGUUUUAAGUCAACCUUCAGCAAUUUUAGCUUUUCUUUGAUCUUCGUUAUUUCAUUCCCCUGUACUAAGUAUGAUUGCCAUUUUCCUUUCACCAAAUCAUUAAAACCCCUCUCCAUGUGCCAGACGUCAAUGGUCCUAAAAGGUUUAGGACCCCAAUCCUUAUCCACGGUCUUCACCACUAACGCACAGUGGUCUGAAACUUCCCUCCUCAGGACAUAUUGUUUGCACAUUGGCCAUUUUUGUAGCCACUCUUGAGAGACAAGAACUCUGUCUGGUCUACUUUUAGUCGAACCAUUUGACUUAAACCACAUAUAUUUCUUACCUACUAUAAGUAAAUCCAACAAUAAGUUGGAGUCGAUGAAGCUAUUAAACCCAAAUAUCUCACUUGAUUGGUCUCCCCUGUUCCUUACACCUUUCCUUUCACUUCUGCUUCUUAUGGCAUUAAAGUCACCACAGAAGCACCAAACUGAGUCUUGAGAUGCCACUUUAAUAUUGGUUAGUUCCUCCCAUAGAAUCUUCUUUUCACCCAGAUGCAGCGUAAAUAUUUACUACAACACACCUACAGUUCGAUUUUAGGUGCUGACCAAAUAUAGCAAUGUACCCCUCCCCCAUCUGGUGACUUUCAAAACUAAAAGCUUCUUUGUGCCACAUUGACAACAAACUUCUAGCUCCGUUGUCCCCUUCAUUGUGUAUCCAUUCAACUUUGUUGUCCCCCCACAUAGAAAAACAUCUAGGAUGCGAAAAGACAGUUGUUUUUAUUUCUUGCAGACAUACAAAUUCUGCUCCCUCACAAGUGAUGAUAUGCCUCAUGUACCUAGCUUUGGUACCUCCUCCCAAACCUCCAAUAUUCAGGUUUACUAUCAACAUAAAUAACCACUUUUGUUACCCUCCUCAUAACUCUGCAUAACCUCCAAAUCUCUCACAUCCAUACACUGAAAUUCUUUCACAACCUCUACUUCAUCCCCACGGCAAGCGAUGCCAAUAUGUUUAUUAAUCUCCCAUAGCUUUGAUGGUUCCUCCAUAUAUUCCGACUCACGAUAUCUUGAGUUGCAAUUAUUGAUAUCCCCAUCAGAAAUGGUACAAAAUUCUUUCCUACACAAGAAUGAGAGGUAUCCCUUACCUAGGAUGUUCUUGCACUUAUUCUGACCGACCGCCUAGGGUGGGUGCUUGAUUCGCCCAAUUCCCAUAGUCCUUUCAUCUUGUGCCGUCGUGGGGGUGUUUUGCAGAUGCUUCCCACAUAUGCUUCCUCAUCUCCUAGCAAGAGAGAUACAUUCCUGCUUGGGCUAGUAUCCUUUGGUUCGUCAUUAGCUUCUUGGGCCCUAUGCAUAUCACGAUUAUCUUGUAGACCAUCUUGCUCCCACGGUUUCAGCAUCAAUCCGACAAGCGGCUCGGGUUUAGCUGGUUGCCUCAACGUGUUUUCUUCGUUGGAUUCUUCCUCUAGCACCUGCACCACCGAAGCUGUAGCUUGACAUUCGUAUUCUCCAGUAUCGAUUUUCUCUUCGCACCCUGACCCACAACCCAUCUGCAUAGACCCUUCAUCUCCCUCUUCCAAUUGGGCCAACGCACAACCCUUCUCUUGUCCACUUCGGGCCAAUUGCUUCCCCUGUUGGGCCAAGGAAGUAUUGGGCUUACGCUGGGUAAAGUUGUUCUCAACAUCCACCACAAGUCUAGCCAGCUCAGCGUGUUCAGAGAGGCUAUCACUAUCGGGGUCGCAGAUGUAGGUAGAGUGGUUGGCAGGAUCAACCUCUUCAGAUACCUUCAGACCCUUCAUUCCUUCAUUAGUGAAACUCUUAAAAACUUUUUCCUGGCUUACCUCUCCUUUCGUUGCAGAUACCUCAAAUGGUUUAUCCUUUGUCGUAUGCGCUUCCUGUUCCCCACCUUCAUCUGCCUCUCCUUCCUCCGCCUCCCCCUUUGACCCGCGGUCCUUCCUAUCCCAAACCUUGACCUCCUCCUCACAGCUUUUCGCAAAUAAGUCUGUUUCUUCUAUAUAGGUCUUCGACAAAGAGAUACUAUCAAAACACUCAUAAACAUUGAGGGCACACUUACAUUGGCUUUCAUUUAUUGUUGAGUUCUCCUCUUCAAUGAAUAUAUUGAACGUUUGGUCAUUUAUCUACAUACCCUUCGCCAACCUAGCGUUACAGUUCUUCAAUAAAUGAACUUGAAGUCUGGCGUAUUCAAGGUUCUCCCAUAAUAACGUGGACUUAUCAAUGGCCACCAGCUUUGCCACUUCUCCUACCACUUUAGAAAAAUAGUCCUUGUUCCAGAAGGUGAUCAGCAAACCAUAGCACCUCACCCAGACUAUCUUAUGGCCUGCUACAUAAUCUUCCAACCAAGGGUCAACGAUCUCAAAGACACUUUCGAACCACUCCUUGUUAAGUUUCAAAAGAUCUUCCAUGCUCUCCCCUUCUCUUGGCGUCAGGAGAGUUAGGUUGUCACCCAAAUACCUCACUUUUAUCAUGUUCAUUCCUCCUUUCACAAAUUCUUCUCCCAGUUGGGCAAAGUUCAUAUCUAUAUUGAACUGGCCAAUGACACUGUUUUCCAUCCACGACAAUACAUGAUGUUGCGUCUUGAUAACAGGUCCCUUCCAUUUCUGUUGCAAUUCACCUUUAACUAUGUCAGCAUAGGAUUUGUUUCCUUUCUUUUCCACCCAUACCUCUUUUCUCUUCAUCUUCCCGUUUAACACCGGAACCUCCUGGAUUCGCUUCUUGGUAUCCUUUGGGAUCUCCUUGUGUAGGAUUCUGUUUUCCCUUCUCGAUACUCUGUUAGAUUCCAACUCAUGCCUUCGAUAUCUUGGAAUGUUCACGUAAAGCUUCAUGUUUCCUAUAUACACUACAAGAAAAUCAUGAAAUAGAAACCAAUUUUUAGAGACCAAAAUAAUUAGUUGCAAUGGUAACUAAAUUAGAUACCAUUUUAGAAAAUAAAAAAAAAUUUGGUUUCUAAAUUAGUUUCUAUUAUUGUUAAAUAGUUUCUAAAUUGGUAUCUAAUUAGCAACCAAGGUUUUAAAGACCAAAUUUAGAAACUAAAUAAUUGGUAGUUAAAACUUUGGUUGCUAAUUAGAUACCAAUUUAGAAACUAUUUAACAAUAAUAGAAACUAAUUUAGAAACCAAUUUUUUAUUUAGUUUCUAAAAUGGUCUCUAAUUUAGUUACUAUUGCAACUAAUUAUUUUGGUCUCUACAAAUUGAUUUCUAUUUCAUGAUUUUCUUGUACUGAUAGAUUUGGUCUAGCUCCCUCUCCAGUCGUCCUGCAUUUCUCACUUCAAAGAAUCUUACAAACCCAAAUCUUCUCUCCCAUCUGUUUAGCCUACGGGAUAUGAAGACUUCUUUUACCCUAGUCCAUUUUUGGAAGACCUUAAUCAUGUCUAGUUCACCAAAGCCAUUUGGGAAGUUUGAGAAGAAGAAUGUUGUAAAAUCAUAUGUAGGUUUAUGUGGUUUGUGGUCAUACCCAUGGCCACCGUAUCUCUGAGUUCUUCUCCCUUCCAUUUCUCUUGGGUUAAGUUCUUUGUUGCAAAGUUGAUGUCUGAAUUUCUAUGUGGGGUAUUGGCUGGACCAAUUAAUGAACAAUGAUUGUGAAAAUUAAUUUUUUGUUUGUCUUAUAAGUAGUAGAAUUUAAAUAUAUUAUGAUAAUUAUAUAUGCAUGUUUCUCUCUUUAUGUAGAUGGAGAAUAAUGGUGGCUUCAAUGUCUUCGUCAAUCCCAAUGUGGACUACGCAUUCAUAGUGGCGCUACUUAUGAUUGUUAAGGACAUGAAUUGUUGUGAUGAGCCCCAGAAUAGUACAAAUACAAAUAAAACUAUUAGUGCCCUAAAAAUAAUUUCAUUAUCUUUUUGAAGUAGCUAAAUAAAUAUAUUGAAUAAGAAAAUAUAAAUAAAAGUGAGGAAAUAAGUUUGGAGUCCUCCCUAAUGUACUUAUAUAGAUGUCUGUUGUAUUAUGUUGUAUAUGGCUAUUUCUUUAUCUUUUAUUAUAUCAAUGACAGUAAAGUUAAUGGUAACUUAUAUAGAUCCGAAAUGUGUGGGAGAAGUUUUUUUUACCUUAUCUCUUGUAAUAGCAAAACCCAAACGACACAAUUUUGUAGGCAAAACAAAAAAAAAAACAUUCAUGGUAUAGGAAAAACUUAUCUUAAAGUUAGUUAUAUCAACAAUUACCAAGUUGAUAUGUUAUGUAAAUAACUUACUCACGAAUUAUUCUUUGAAUAAUAACUUAGUUAUAGGUAAGUUACCAUUGAAUAAAUUUGUGAAUAACUUCGUAGAUCAAUGCAUGCAUGGAUAACUUAUCUAUAGAAUUUCUUUUAGCUAAAUCAUGCAUGGACUUUUUUUUAUGAAUAAAUCCAUAAGAAAUAGUAAGAAUAUUUUUCGUCUUCCAAGUCAUGCCACUCUAUACUUCUAUAGUUACAAAUGUGAAAGAAAUUUUAUCUCAACAUUUAAAUAUCAUAUCUCAAAUAUUCAACGUUUAGUUCAAACAUCCAUAUGCAACACACUGAAAAAAAAAAGUUUUAAGGGGAUUUAUUUUUACAUUAUUCAGGGUUAAAACCUCUAUUAAGUCAUUUAUCCAGGGUUGCAGUUUCCCCGCUAAACCAUUCUUGGGAAACGUGUUCAUCGGGGUUCUUUUAAACCUUAGGAAAAGUCUUUCACAAUCCAUGUUCAUGGGUUUAAGAACCUCCGUAAAAUAUCAUGAGUUUUCAAAACCUUCGUAAAAUAUCAUUAGUUUCAAAAUUUUCGUAAAAUGACUUGCCAUUUGAUAUAACCUUCAACCUCAUUUUCCAUCAUCUUUAACAAUUCUCCGGACUUCUCUCUUCCACUUUAGAUACACUGCUCUCCAGCACAUGCUCAAUGGCCGCCAACGACAGUCCUAGUAAGGAAUCACAAUUCAGCCACACUUAUGUCUAAGGAGAAGAAACAUUAAAUAAGGCAUUGUCUUCUUCGAACUCCAAUAUUGUUCUUCCCCAACUUGGAUCACAAGCCACUAUUAUCUAACACAGCAACAACUGAUGUUUAUCACUGUUUUAUAUAUCCUAAAGAAUUGCAUUAUCUAUCAAAUGUGGGCUUCAAAACCAUGUGUGUUCUUGACUAACAAUUGCAAGAACAUAUUGCAAGAAGAAAUUAACUUUAUUACUUCUCACUUUUACAGUGAAUUAAUUAUUAGAUGUAUUUUAAAAUAAAGGCCUUAAUUUAAAAUAUUUCAAAAUUAUGAGAAUUAAAUAUUAACAAUUAUAACUAAAACUAAAAUUGCACAUAAAAUAUACGUACAUCAAAAGUUAAAACAAAAUAAGUCAGAUUUUUUGAAGUAUGAGCUCGUAACAAAAAAAAACUAGGAAUUAUAUAAACCAAAUAAUCAAUCAUAAGAUAUAUGCAAAUAUUGUUAAAAUACUUAUUAUCCAAGAUUAGUUGUUGAAAUACUUAUUAUCCAAGGUUUUUUUGUAGAUUUUUUAAAAUAAAUUUUUGAAACUUGAGAAAACUUAUUUGUAAUGGAAAGUUACACUUUCAAAAUUUUAGAGAAUUUAGUUAUAAAGUAUAUAAAAUAUAUUUAAACUAUGUAGUUUUAAUUAUUUAUUUAUAAAUAGAUUUAAUUAUAUUUAUUUAUUCAAGUUUGAAAAAUAUGGAGUGUUUUAUUGAGGUUCUAUAAUAAAUCUUUGAAAUUUAACGAAGGUUAAAAAAACUCUGUUAUUUUGUUGGGAUUUUAGAAUAAACCUUUGAAACUUAACAAAGGUUAAAAGGACUUUAAUUUACUGAGGUUGUAGAAUAAACCUUUGAAACUUACUGAAAGUUAAAAAAAUCCUCUGUUAUUUUGCCGAGGUUUUAGAAUAAACCUUUGAAAUUUAAUGAAGGUUAAAAAAACCUCCGUUAUUUUGUUGAGAUUUUAUAAUAAACCUUUGAAAUUUAACCAAGGUUAAAAAACCUCUGUUAUAUUGCUGAGGUUUUAAAAUAAACCUUUUGAAUUUAAUGAAGGUUAAAAAAAAAUUCGUUAUUUUGUUGAGAUUUUAAAAUAAACCUUUGAAAUUUAAUGAAGGUUAAAAAUGUAAAACAUGGAAGCUUUGAUGAUCCAAAUCAAAUCUGAGUGAAGGGUUGAUGCUUUGGUGUUUUGGUUGGAGCUUAGUUCUAGGGUGUUUAGAAUUCUUGUACAGAUCAUUCUUGUCCUAUGCACAAAGCUAAAUCAAUCUAUGUUAAAAGAGAAAAAUGUUUUUCUAAGCAAAGAGAAAAACAACCGGUUGAAAUCACGAUAUAAUCAGUUGUUUUACACUUAGCCUGAUUGAAGGUUUUCAAUACUGUUUUUGACUUGGUUGACUAACUGUCAUAACCAAUUCAACCGGUUAAAACGACAUUUCAACCGGUUGAUUGUCACGUUUCAUAACAUCUUUUUCAAAAACCUGUUGAAUCUGUUUUCAGUUCGGAAGAUUUGUAUAAGAGUUAAUCUUGUCAACCUGAUUCUAGUGUUCUUGGUCCUUGUUGUAAGAACAAUAUAUAUAGCUUACAUAAUAGUGUUAAUGAUUAUAGUCUNNNNNNNNNNNNNNNNNNNNNNNNNNNNNNNNNNNNNNNNNNNNNNNNNNNNNNNNNNNNNNNNNNNNNNNNNNNNNNNNNNNNNNNNNNNNNNNNNNNNNNNNNNNNNNNNNNNNNNNNNNNNNNNNNNNNNNNNNNNNNNNNNNNNNNNNNNNNNNNNNNNNNNNNNNNNNNNNNNNNNNNNNNNNNNNNNNNNNNNNNNNNNNNNNNNNNNNNNNNNNNNNNNNNNNNNNNNNNNNNNNNNNNNNNNNNNNNNNNNNNNNNNNNNNNNNNNNNNNNNNNNNNNNNNNNNNNNNNNNNNNNNNNNNNNNNNNNNNNNNNNNNNNNNNNNNNNNNNNNNNNNNNNNNNNNNNNNNNNNNNNNNNNNNNNNNNNNNNNNNNNNNNNNNNNNNNNNNNNNNNNNNNNNNNNNNNNNNNNNNNNNNNNNNNNNNNNNNNNNNNNNNNNNNNNNNNNNNNNNNNNNNNNNNNNNNNNNNNNNNNNNNNNNNNNNNNNNNNNNNNNNNNNNNNNNNNNNNNNNNNNNNNNNNNNNNNNNNNNNNNNNNNNNNNNNNNNNNNNNNNNNNNNNNNNNNNNNNNNNNNNNNNNNNNNNNNNNNNNNNNNNNNNNNNNNNNNNNNNNNNNNNNNNNNNNNNNNNNNNNNNNNNNNNNNNNNNNNNNNNNNNNNNNNNNNNNNNNNNNNNNNNNNNNNNNNNNNNNNNNNNNNNNNNNNNNNNNNNNNNNNNNNNNNNNNNNNNNNNNNNNNNNNNNNNNNNNNNNNNNNNNNNNNNNNNNNNNNNNNNNNNNNNNNNNNNNNNNNNNNNNNNNNNNNNNNNNNNNNNNNNNNNNNNNNNNNNNNNNNNNNNNNNNNNNNNNNNNNNNNNNNNNNNNNNNNNNNNNNNNNNNNNNNNNNNNNNNNNNNNNNNNNNNNNNNNNNNNNNNNNNNNNNNNNNNNNNNNNNNNNNNNNNNNNNNNNNNNNNNNNNNNNNNNNNNNNNNNNNNNNNNNNNNNNNNNNNNNNNNNNNNNNNNNNNNNNNNNNNNNNNNNNNNNNNNNNNNNNNNNNNNNNNNNNNNNNNNNNNNNNNNNNNNNNNNNNNNNNNNNNNNNNNNNNNNNNNNNNNNNNNNNNNAGUUGGUAGUGUAGCACAGGUGUAGUGACAAUAUAAUAGUUGUGUAUCUCUUCUCUCUCUCUCUCUCUCUCUCUCUCUCUCUCUCUCUCUCACUCCUUAUAAACUGUUUGAUUUUAUUUUGUAUUGAUGCUGUCAUAAAAAACCGAUUAAAACGAAGUUUCAACCGAUUGAUAUUCUGCAAACAGUUUCAAUUACCUUGUUUGAUUGGCUUCCUUGAUUACUCUUCUGUGAUUGUUGUUAAAACUUCAUUCUUAUCCAAUCUUUUCAAAAAUCUUUUGACAAACAAUUCACCCCCCUCUUGUUUAGGCCAUUAAUUCUAACAAAAAAAACCUUCGUUAUUUUGUUGGUGUUUUAGACCAACCUUUGUAACUUAAUGAAGGUUAAAAAACCUUCGUUAAUUAAAUCACAUCCUAGGGUUAUAUUAACCUCCACUAAAUAACCUCCGUUAAAAUCCUUUUUUUCUUGUAGUGACAACAACAUUUAACUUCAAACUAUAUUUUAACUUAAAACUCUAUAAAUUACUAAAUGUUAAGAGUGUGUAACUUGACAGAGGGUGUUAACAAAAUGUUUUCCUAUCGAAAAUCACAACCCCUCACACAAAGUCCACCCCCGAUGUAUGAAUGGGAUGAGGAUGCAUGAUCCACUCAUCAUAUUUCGAUAGGCAUCUUGGAGGGUGUGGAGUGGUGUGGCUCGAACUUCCCAUCCUCCUUAUUGCUCUCUCAUGGUAGGAAUUCACAUAGAAUUCUCUCAUUAUGCUCUCGUUGAAAGUGUGUUGAGUUGUACCAACUUAUUCAAUCUUCCGCUCUUUAAUUUUAAGACAAACCACUCAUAUUUACCUUACUGAACUCUCACCCAUCUUUGAUAUGAGUUUCUUCUACAUAUUUGCUUUAAAUGAUACUCAAGAAGUGGAGGGUAGAAGAUAUCCCCAUCAUAAAGAAGUUAUUCAUUAUUUCGAUUGUCAGCACUAGAAUAAGAGAUCCCUCUCAAAAGAAUCCAUUGCCUUUUAGUAACAUUGUUGGAGUCAAUCACUCUUGAUACAACCCAAUUCAAUAAGCAGAUGACUAAGGACACCACGAAAAUUUCACAAUUAGGUUAGUCAUCUCAACAUCCAAGACAAGACCGUACCAAACAUCAGAAGGACCUCAGCAGAAGAAAAACUGGACAUAGACCAGAGCAUCAAAUGUUGUUUCUUCUUGUCGUUUUACAAGACAAGUUUAUGUAAAUAAUUUUGGCUCUUUCUAGGGGUUCAAAUAGAAAAAUAAGCUAGAGUAGGGUGUACUUAGUAUAAAUUGGGCUUGUGCCAAAGCCCACCUUAACCUAGCCUCUAGAAACACAUCCAUGUGCCACCCAUGUGCUCACCUUUGACCUAGAUUCUAGAAGACUCCCCAUGUGCUCACAUUUGACCUAGUUUCUAGAUGCUUGUAGUCAUUUAUACCCCUACCGUUCCUCUCUUCCUCUUCAAGGCACUUAUCUCUAUAAAUAGGGUGUCUCCCCUCUUGUAAAGAACACAUUGAAUUUUGAAUAGAAAAUAAAAUUUGCCAGAGUGUUUAGUGAGUUGAGUCUCCUAGAAUUUGGGUCUUAUCUUGAGUGCUCUACACUUCAAGUGGCGGCUCUUCACCACUCAUCUUGGAGUCUCCUCCCCCUCCAAGUGGCGUGACCACACCUUCAUCAUCCUAAGCUUCUCUUUCCUUUCAUCUUUUUAUUUUUCUUUUCCUUUAUGUUCUUGUGUUCAUCUUUUGCUAUUCAGUUUCCAUCUUCUUUCUUUCCCUUAUAUGCUCUUUAAUUUUGCACCACAUUCAUCAUCAACACCAUAUAAUUGUGUUUUCUCUUUGUCCUCUAGAAGUGAACCUUUACACUUACUUAAUCACGUGGUUAAGUUCUUGUCCAGUGGGAAUCUUCUUUGAGUUUCUCACCAUAUUCGACUUAAAAUAAAAAACCAUAAACAAAAUGAAACACAUAAAAAUGUACAAUUCUAAAAUUAACUCACAUCAACUUUUCUCAUAAUCAUUGUUCUAGUCAUCUAUUAAAAAAAAUAAUAGUAUUAGAAAGUCAAUGCAUCAUUUUAUGUAAAAAAAUAUUAGUGUUAGUUUUUAAAAAAUAAGAAGCACUUAAGCGAAGACGAAAUUGUUUAAAGUGUCAAUCAUUUAAAUGAUAAAAAAAAAUAGGGUCUAAAGGACAUCAAUCAAGAAAGUUAGUAUUUACUUAAUGUUCAACGAGGUGCUUUAAUGUCUUCAAAUCCAAGUGGAAUGCAUGAAGAUCCUUGUUGUUGGUUGUGUGUGUCUAAAAGUAGUUGAAUUUGUUAAUUCACUCCUUGUGGUGAUCCAAGGUUAAAUGAAUCUUAAUCCUUUUGAAAAAAGAUAUGUUUUCUAAAGAAAUUGAAAAUUCAACAUGUUGAAAUGUCGAUUCAACUGGUUGUUUUACACUUAGUAGAUUUUGAAAAGGUUUUGGAAAGCUUGACUUUGUUUGAAUUUGCUAUCAAGCCAAUCGUUUGAUUCGUGAUUUCAAUAGAUUGAUUUUCUGAAAACCUUAACAAAAUUUUGUUAAGUUGUGGAAAUUUGUUUUAAAUGAUUAAAAUUGCUUUUGGUUCUUGAAUUAAAUGCUUUGACCAUCUGAUUGGAGUUUAAAUAAGUUGUUUUACGCUCCUGGUCAUUAACUAAGUAAGAGAGUUUAAUCAAAACUAAUUUUUCAAGAUUUCAAAGUGUUUUGGAUCAUUCUCAAGUGUGGAAUAGGAUAUUCAUGUAUUCUCUGUACUUUAAUCUUUGAUUGUACCUAUGUGUAUUCUAUUCCUUUAUUUCUUGAUCACUGUAAUUCUGUUUGACUUGGUGUUGUGCACUUUCAGAGGUUGUUCUGAAAAUUGUGUGUUGUUUGCCAAAGGUGGUGUGUGUUCUUGAAGGGUUCAAGAUCACCAUUUUGGUGUGUUGUUUGUAAUUAGGGUUUGAUUACUCAGUGAAUUCUUAGUGUUUUUUUAGUAUUGGAUGUAGUUCUUGGUAAAGAGUGAACGAGUAUAAACAUUUUGUUAUCCUUACUCUUUUUAAAACUACUUUAGCUUUGAUUUUAUAAAUUGCUAGUAUAAACAACCAAUUGUUUAAAAAAACAACGGUUGAUUUUCUGUAAUCAAACUAAGAACAGUUUUCUAAUUGGCUGAAAUGAUUGGUUUUCAAUCUACCUUCGAUACUUGCGAAAAUCUUUCAUAAACAAUUUAUACUCCAUCUUUUUUACGGCUUAAGUUAAAUUCAACAUACAUUUAAGAGGCAAUCAUUUAAGUGAAUUAAGACACUUAAGUGCUUUCACUUAAACAUACUUAUUUAAACAUACUUAUUCUAAUAUAAGAAGUUAUCGCUUUAAGCGCAUGAUUCUUCACACUUAAAACAAAUUUGAAAAACACGAGCUCACCAUAUCUUUCAAAGCUACCCUCAAUAACUAUAACUAUACAGAUGAAAAUUACAUUUAUUGCUAUAGUAAAUAUUUGUUAUUGAGAGAACAAAUGUAAAAUAGCAAGCAAAAACAUAAAUAAAAAAGGAGACAAGAAAAGAAAAUAUAAAAGUGAAGUGCAGGAAUGAUGAUAACAAAAGAUCACAUGAUGAAUGCCAAAGAAUCUGAAGAAAUUAUAAGUGGAGAAAGUAGAAAAGAAAGGUAUGUUAAAAAAUGAGUGGGAUAGGAAUUAUACAAGAAGGUGAGGGACGAAUAGAUGUAAAUAUGCUUGUGAUUAGGUUAACAACGAUUAAAAGGUUAAAUAUUUUUAAUUUCCGCUACUUUGAAAAGUUGGUAAAUUUUAAUAUCUUUAAGCACAUGCAACAGUAAACUUAAAGCAGGGGUUAAGUUGUGCUUAACUGAUGUCAAAACACAGAUUAAUUAAGCACUAAAGCAUGAAUUAAGUUGCACUUGCGCUUAAAUGAAGAGAUGUGCUUUACUCAUGACUUUAUGUGACUGCAUUCAAUCACACAUAUAUGCAUCAUUCUUUAUAUUUUUAUCAAAAAAAAAUUUAUUAAUGUAAAAGAGAUUUUUUAUAUAUUAUUUAAGAUAAAAAUUUAUGUACGUUAAUGGAUGUAAAUUUACGUUGGACCCGAUCUCCAUUAUGUCAAGGCACAGCACAAUAAACGUGUAUUUAUAAUAGAAAAAAAAAUUGUACAAAAUUUAUGUCGGAUAUUAUAAGAUUUUAUGUAAAUUUUUGGAUUUUUUUUAAAUUACACUGGGUUUGGCAUCAAACCAAAACCUGAAAUACAUAAAAAGUAGACAUUUUAACUAAAAAUUCUAUACUAAAUCUCUAAUCUAACUUAAAAAAAAUAUGAACAAGAAAAAAAAUCUAUACUAUCAUAAUUCACGUAUAAACAAAAUUUAAUAUUUUGAUAAAUUUUUGACAAUAUAAGUACACAUGUGUACAAAAUAAAAGUAAUUACAAAUAAUCAUGGUCAAUAUCCAAUCAAGUAAAAAUACAUUAAAUUAUAAAAUUAAAAACAUAUUAAAUUACAAUUAAGUGGAAAUACACAUUAAUAUGAAAAUGGUCGAAAAUCAAAGCCAAUGUUACAAUUAAUGUUUACUUUUAAUUCGGUCCGCGAUCCAAGUAAAAUUAUUAAGGAGCUCCUAUAAUACUGCUCACUAACAAUGGCGUUAUUUUGGUUGUCAAAUUCAACACUUCGUUGUAGUAGAAUUUAAUGUCAUUAAUAAUCAUAAGUAGUGUCACUAUGAAUGCGUAGUCCACAUAGGGAUUCACCAAGACAUUGAAGCCAUCAUUAUUCUUCAUCUACAAAGAAACACAAACUAUAUAUGUUCCUUAUUGUAUCACUAAUAUACAAACAUUGUUUCUAUAUUGAUUAAAAGGUUCACAAACAUAAAAAUAUGUUUCUAUAUCCGAUAAUGUAACUAUUAGUGAUAACUAAUAUACUCUUAUAUGAGUAGAGUUUUUAAGCUUACAUAUUUGUUCUUCUCUUUGUUUAGAGGAUCAUCAUAAUACAACUCUAUUUUUUAUCUUAUUCAUCUUUUGUAAUAUGGUAUCUAGAGCUUAUUAAGAUCUGGCCAUGAAUUUUAUUCUUUUUCUUCUAUCAUGCAUUGUAUAAAUUUUUCUAUUUCGUCCUCCUUUCAGCCUCAUACUUUUUAGCCUCCUAUAUAUUUCAAGUUGGAUGAUGACAAUUUUCUUAUAUGACAACAAGUUCUUACGACUAUCAAGGGUCCCCAAGCUCACACAAAUCUUGGAUAAUCCUAAUCCUCCUUUCAAAUACAUAUAGAAGAUGUCGUGAACAACAUUGUAAAUCCAAAAUUUCUUCAAUACAAACAACAAGGUCACAUUCUUGUUGCAUGAUUCCUUGCUUCAAUGUUUACGCUCAUUCUUACAAAGAUGGUUGAUCUAAAUUCUUCCUUCAAAAUAAGGUCCAAGUUAAGGGUGUAUUAUGCGUCUUAGAAUAAAGAAAGAAUUAAGAAACUCAAUAUUGAAUUGAGUUCACAAAAGAAAGAUAGAACCUUUAUGGCGUAUUUGUUAAACAUCAAAAAGUGUGUUGACACUCUUGUUACUAUUGGAGCAACUCUUUCCAAUGAAGAUCAUCUUGAAGCUAUUCUUGAUAGAUUACCUAAAAAUUAUGAUAGUUUUGUUACUUCAAUCAUGUCCCAUCUUGAUCCUUACAUAGUUGAAGAAGUAAAAGCUUUAUUGUUAUCUCAAAAACAAAGGUUUACCAAACAUAGAUAUGUUAUCCACACUUUGGUCCAUCUAAUGAAAACCAACUGAGCAAAUCAAUAUUUGGUGGUUCAUAUUAGAAAAAUAAUCAUUUUCAAUCUCGCAACUCUUCAUCCAGCAGGUUCUUUAAAAUUUUUCAACAUAAACAACAAAAUAGAGUUUUUUUCAUCAAUUCUUAGAACUCCUUCCAAUGUUAAUGAUCCCUUGUGGUAUCCGGAUAGUGGAACAUGCCAUUCUCUAAAUCUAAUACUACUUAUACUACUACUCUUGAAUUAUUGUUCAUUGAUAUAUGAGAUCCAUCCCCGAUUACUUCUAAUAUUGGUGCUAGAUAUGUGACUUUCUUGGAUGCUUUUUCCCAAUUCACUUGGAUAUAUUUGUUGCAUAUAAAAUCUCAAAUCUCUAUUGUCUAUACUCAGUUUAGUUUUUUUUUUUAUGAAACACAAACUAGAUAUAAGUUGAAAUCAAUUCAAACGGAUAAUGCAAGGAAUUUAAUAGUCUUGCAUCAUUUGUUAACAUAAAUGCCAUAAAACAUCAAUUAAUGUGUCCUCAUACACAUGAAUAAAAUGGAUAUAUUGAACGUCAACAUAGACAUAUCACUGAAACUGGUUUGACUCUUUUGGCUAGUGCAUCUAUGCCACGAAAAUUUUGGGAAAAGGCUUUAAUGUUGUUGUUAAUAUAAUAAACACUUUAUCCACCGUUGUUCUUAAUAAUAAAUCUCCUAAUCAUGUGUUCUUUAAAAAACAAUUGAAUUAUGCUAGUUUAGGGACUUUUGGUUGUGCUUGCUACCUUUUCUUACACCACUAUAAUAAGAACAAACUUGAUUUCGAAUUCUCUCUUUAGUUAUUUCUUGGAUAUAGUAAUCACUAUAAAAGAUAUGUUUGCCUUUCCCAAAGGUGGAUGUACCUACAUUUUUAGACACAUGGUCUUUAAUGAAAAUGCUUCCCCUUUUUCCACCAAUGCUAAGUUUUUUCUACAACACAAUUCAAAUUCGCCUAUGCUUUCCUCAACUCCUUUUCCCUUAACUAUGUUUAAAGUUGUUUUUGCCACACUUGAUAAGACCCCAGAUAUUCCCGUUACAACUCAAUCCUUGUCUUCACCUAUUCCUAAUUUCGUUGCUUUGUCUAAUCUACCUGUAACUACUCCAACAACUACUUUUGACGCUACAACCUCCUCAUCACCUUCUCACAACGUGCAUCCAAUGGUAACUCAUGCCAAAUCAUUUAUGUUCAAACCCAAACCUUACAAUGUUUCUGUUUCUGAUAACUACAUUGAACCUGCAACUUUUAAAUAAGCAAUAUGUUGGAGAUCCCACAUCGACUAGAGAUAAGGGCCUUUCAUAGUAUAUAAGUGGGUGCAAACCUCAACCUUAUGAGCCGGUUUUAUGGGGUUGAGUUAGGCUUAAAGUCCACUUUGUAAUAUGGUAUCAGAGCCAUUUCGAGCCUAUCCUAGCGAGUAUUUGUGUUGGGCCUAUCGUGCCAUUCGCUAUCGGACCACCCAAAAAUAUAUAGUCCCACGCACGAGCUUCUAUCUAUCACUCUCGGCGUGAGGGGGGUGUGUUGGAGAUCCCACAUCGACUAGAGAUAAGGGCCUUUCAUAGUAUAUAAGUGGGUGCAAACCUCAACCUUAUGAGCCGGUUUUAUGGGGUUGAGUUAGGCUUAAAGUCCACUUUGUAAUACAAUAGUUGAUCCUAACUAGUUUAAAGUAAUGUAAUUAGAACACAAUUCUCUUAUGAAAAAAAAAACUUGGACUCUCACUAACCUCUCAUAUGAUUCAAAUUUUAUUAACUGUAAAUGGGUAUACAAAACCAAGUUCAAUGCAUAUGGCAACUUCCAAAGACACAAGGCACACUUGGUUUUUAAGGAAUUCCAUCAAACACCUGGUAUUGAUUACUCUAACACAUUCAAUCCAAUUGUUAAACCAAUCACUAUUUGGAUCAUCCUUGCUCCUGCAAUGUCUUGCAAAUGAUCUAUCUACCAAGUUGAUAUCAAUAAUGAUUUUUUCCAUGGUGAUUUAAAGGAAAUUGUAUACAUGCAACAACCACUAGGAUUUAUCUCAUCAAAUACACAACAAGUUUGUAAGUUGAGCAAGACCAUUUAUGAUCUUAAAAAAACACCAACUGGGCGUUAUUUUAUAAACUUAGCCACACUCUUAUCCUGAUGGGUUUUUUUGCUAUAAAGAGUGACUUUUCCUUAUUCACGAGGUUCAAUUAUGUUUCAACUCUACUUAUGUUGAUGAUAUCAUUAUAAUUGACAAUUGUUCUAUUGCAAUAUCAUCUCUUAUUACUUUUCUGCAUACCCGAUUUGCUUUUGAAGAUCUUAGUCCUUUACUUUAUUUUGUUGGAAUAAGGAUGUUGGAUUAAAUGCUUGCCACAUGGCCAAAAGUUAUAACUUUUUCUGCUUAACCUAACCCAUCUAGCCUCCGUCAUAGAAUAAUUGAUGUCACCUGCAACAAUAUCCCCUUCAACAAUUUUCCUAAUAGGAAUCAAACCCUUUGAUUGUGACUUGGCCCAUUUGACCCGCGCCACAGGACAAUUGUGCAACUUUCAACAAUCUCCCCUUAAACAGUUGCCUCACUGUGAAUUAAACUCGUGACCUUAGUUUAGAUACCAAUUGUUGGAUUAAGCGUUUACCACUAUGUCAAAAGUUAUAACUGAUAGUCAUGGUGCAACACUUUCUACUUAAGAGCAUAACAAUUUAAACACCACAAUUCCAUUAUAACCUGACCCAUCUAGCCUCUUCCAUGGAACAAUUGAUACCACUUACAAAACAAAGGAGACCACUAUUCAUCUUUUUCAAACCAAAUACAUUGAACAACUUCUUUGUAGAGUGAACAUGUAUGAACCUUAGCCUCAACCUACUCCAAUGAUAACAUCUCUACACCUCAUUCAAGAUGGCUAAAAUCUUUCCUUCUGCAAUAUGUUACUAUUAUAAGUUCAAAAUUAACUUCUUAUAUUAAUAAAGUCUCAAUAUAUGUACCAACCUCAAUAACAUCUUUAGAAAGCCCUUAAACAUGUUCUAUGUUAUCUAGCUCGAACAAUUUAUUAUGUUCUCGUUAUUCAACCUUCCAAUAAUUUCUCAACCAUUGGGUUUACUAAUGCUAAAUGGGAAUGGGAUUGUGAUCUUGGUGAUUGAAAAUCAACAAUAGUAUACUGUAAUAUCUUAUAUCUUGGCAAAAAUGUGGUUUCAUGAUGAUCUCAUAAAGAAUGUGUUGUGCCCAAAAGUACCACAAAGGUUGAAUAUCAUAGCAUCUGCAACUCUAACUGAUAUUACUUGAAUUGUCUCCUUGUGACGUGAAUUGUGCAUUAUUGAUCAUGUUCCAAACAUAUAAUCAGAUAAUCUAAGUGUUGUCUCCUAGCAACUAAUCUAAUUUUUCAUUCUCAACCAAAACACUUUGAGUUGGAUUUUCAUUUUAUUCGUGAUCAUAUCCAACAAAAAACUUAUUAGGCUAAUUCACCUUCCAAAAAGGUUUUAAAUGGUUGACAUUCUUACCAAACAUCUCUCUCAUUUACUAAGUUUCGUGAUAAACUUCUGGUCUUUCAAAGAUCAACCAUAACUUUACUGAGGAAUGAUAAUGCAAUUUUCAGUGAUAAUGUAAUCGUUAGUGAUAACUAAUCUACAAUUAUAUUAUUAGAGUAUUUCUAUAUGCUAUAUAUUAGUUACUCCCUCUGUUUUGAUAAUUAUCAUAAUACAAUUUCGUUUUUAUCUUCUUCCUCUUUUGUAACAAUAUUUGAUACCAAUGUAGAAACUCUCCAACAUUACUAUUAAAAUAUUUAUAUAGUAAGAGUACAUACCGUGGCAACAACCGUAGGAGAUUCACCUGCAAAAACAGUGCAUGAACUUUUGUCACUUGAAAUGUUUACCCUAAAGUCACGCACACUUUCUUUUUUGUUGUUUGCAAGGAAGACAUCUAAUUUAAUCACUCCACUCUGGAGAAUUUCCGAUUUCUUCACCGAGAACAGCAAUUCGGAGGAAUCACUGCUUUGGCCCCUGAAAACUUGGCAUCGUCGGUGCAUAGUCAUGAUCUAUUAUAAGAACAUUCGUCCAUAGUUUAGUAACUAAGGUGAUUUUGUUGGAAUGUUGAAUUUGUUAGAAACGAGGAAUAGGGUAUAAAAAUGCAUGAACACAGUACAAUCCAAUUAUGCAAUCAGCCCUAAGAGGAAGUGGAAAAACUAUAAAACCAUGCGUGAAAUUAAGGUUACGAAAAAAUUAAGAAAACCGCAACUAUGAAAUAAUAAAAAAAAAAAAGCCAACUUGAUAUAUUUCAAUAAUACAACAUUGACUUUUCACCGGACAAAGUAAAAAGUAGUUAUAUAUGAUUGAGCUACGGGAAAAAACACAUUAACUUGUAACCUUGCAUUUUUUUUUGUCUAUCUCUAUUGCAAGUAAUCAUUAAAGCUGAACAAAAAGUUAUUGUUAAUGGAAAAAUAAAAAUAUUAUAUUUCAACACGUCCCCUUCAAAAUGUCUUUCAACAUUCCAAGAUUUUAUCUUAACGUAAGGCCAUUGGUUACGAUUUAUGCAAUAUGAUUCUCAAAAUUGCAAUGGUCCAAGCCUACUUUUUUUACGUAUGUGCUUGUCUAAUAAUAUCAUUUAAUUCCGUUAUAUCAAAUGACUCAUGAAAUUGAUAGGAUGAAAGGUGAAUCGAAAUGUUGGAAAGAUUAAGUCUAAAAGUUGAAGAGUAAAAAAUAUAAAUAAAUAAAUUAUAAUUGAUUAUUGUAGCAAAGUCCAUAAUAACAUUAUCUUAAUAGAAUACUAUAAAUAGGUCAUCAAUUUAAGAGGUAUGUAGAGUGAAUUUAUCUGAUAAUUAUAUAAAGUUGAAUCUGACUUUGGCAUCGGAGCGCCUUGCAAUUACACACACCCAUCCGUGAAAGGAGACCGAGAGGAGAAGCAGAGAGAUCCAGUUAAUCCAACCCAACCAAGUGAGCUUGCCAAACAAAUAAGUCCAACCUAAAGUUAAGGUAGGAGUGAACCGAAAACCCAACUCGUAAGUAGAGACCGAGAAGCCUAGAAGAUUUAAGAAGUUAACACAUUUUAAAAGAAGAACAGUUUCUAGACCCUUGUACCAAAGUUUAUGUAUACCUUUUCUGAUUGGAUUUUGAACCCUCUUAUGGUUGAAAAUCUGUUAAUCUAUUAAUGUUGUUGUUCUUCUUUUAUGUUUUGCAGGGGAAAAGGAAGGUGUACGGGUACUCAGGCUACACCCAACAGGAAUAGUUGGCUUCUUAGGAAUGUAGUCAACCAGAGUGAAGGAUAAUAUUGCUGCAUGAGUGAGUUAGUGAUGGUCUUAGAUGUAGGGGAGAUUGGGUGACAUACAAAGCAAAUGAUGAAGAAUAGCACCGAAGAAGAAAAUCUGUUGUGUGAUGAUAGUGCUUGGUACACUAGUGCAAUUUCUUUGGACCUACUCUUAUCCAGUAUGCAGAAUUAUGUUGCAGAAUAUAUGGUAGAAAUAGCAUUGGAUACUGAUAAAGAAGAAGUGUUAAGCUUGGGUAAGAGAAAUCAUAUCUUGUAAAUGCUUUUGUUUGUAAAAUUUUCUAAUGGUUCAACUCAAGGGCUACUUAGCUCUACAAGGUUGAAAGAGAAUAUUGGUGAAUAUUGAUCUCUAUUAAGGAAAUAAUAAUUAUCAAAUUAUAUGUAAUUAUUGUAUGCAAUAUUUGACGAUAUUGUACCCAAUUAUAUGCAAUUAAUUUAAUAAUUAUAGAAUCUCAUGAUUAGUAUCCUACCUAAUCAGAUUGUAAUUUGAGGGAGAGAAACUCCCUUAUAUAUUUCCUAUACAUGAAGUGAUGUAAUAUGCACAUAAGAGAAUAAGAAACAUCUCUUCUUCUUACCAUUUUUUAUCAUUUUCUUAUAUGGUAUCAGAGCACCGAUCUUGGUGCCCUGACAGCCUCUCCAUUUUUAUUCCCUAAAUAAAAAAUCAUGUAUGGCAAAGAAGUCACUAGUAACGAGUCCGAUAGAAACCUCGUACAACGCUUCAGUGCCGAGCAAAUUCAGCAAUUGGAAAAGGUUAUUUACUCGCUCAACAAUAACGGUAAAAGUGACACGUUUGUUAGCUCUGCAGAUCUGCUUGCCCAUAACUCCUCUUCUAAUUCUGCUUUUACGAAACCAUGGAUUUUGGAUAGCGGAGCAACCCAUCACAUUGCAUCUGAUUCACAAUUUUUCACACACACUUCAUCAUCAUUUAUUUCAAAUGUUAAUCUGCCCACAGGCUCAACUGCACCCAUCUCAUCUACAGACACAAUUAAAUUCAAUGACAAAAUCACUCUCAAAGAUGUUCUUUGUGUUCCUUCUUUUAAUUUAAAUCUCAUGUCCAUUAGUAAGAUAACCAGUUCACUAAAUUGUUGUGUCGUUUUUACUCCACAUGGUUGCGUUUUACAGGACUUGGCUACGGGGAGGAUGAUGGCUCGGGUAAACAACACGCAGGCUUAUACUACAUGUCCCCUCUUCCAAACCAAGCCCACACAUCUCAAAUAUCGACCGAUCCUGAUUUAUGGCACAAGCGCCUUGGACAUCCUUCUCCGGCGUGUCUACAACUUGUAUCUUCCUUACUACCUAUCCCUAUCAGUAAAAAUCUCAUUUCCAUUCAUAAUCGUUGUAGUAUUUGUCCCAAAGCUAAACAGACAAGGCUACCCUUUCCUUUAAGCACAAUAAAAUCUCAUUCUCCAUUUAAUCUAUUGCAUUGUGACAUUUGGUGUCCUCAUAAAACCCCAACUCAUUUUGGAAAACGUUUUUUUCUCACUAUAGUCGAUGACUAUACUAGAUGUACUUGGCUAUUUCUUAUGAAUCACAAAUCUGAAACCCAACAUCUCUUAGAGUCAUUCAUUACAUUUGCACAAAAUUAAUUUCAGGCAUCUAUUAAAACCAUCCGCGUUGCCAACGGAUUGGAAUUUAUUUCAAUGUAUGAUUUUUUUCUUAAAAAAGGUAUUGAAUGUCAACGCACUUGCGUUUACACUCCUCAACAAAAUGGAGUAGUAGAACGCAAACAUAGACAUGUUUUAAACACAGCACGAGCCCUCCUAUUUCAGUCCAAUUUACCAUUAGAAUUUUGGGGAGAAUGCGUUUUAACUGCCACAUAUAUCAUUAAUCGCUUGCCAUCACCUUUACUAAAAAAUAAAUCACCUUUUGAGCUACUAUAUAAUCAACCACCUUCACUUUCUCACCUAAAAACUUUUGGUUGCCUCUGUUACGCAACUGUUGUUUCACCUAAGCAAAAAUUUGAUCCGCGCGCUCGACAAUGCAUCUUCAUUAGUUAUCCUCACAGUAAAAAAACAUACAAAUUAUUUGAUAUAGAUGUAGACACUUUUUUUACAAGUCGGGAUGUCAUCUUCUAUGAAAGUGUUUUCCCAUUCCGCCAACAGUCACAGACACAAUCCUCACCUCCAUUACAAGGUAUUUUGCCCACUAUUGACAUUGACUUACCCACUCCUGUCCAACAUUCACUCGAUCAACCUUCUUCUCUUACUCAUUACAAUGCACCUGAAUCUCCAUCAAACCAACCUUCUUCUCCUACUUGUCACAAUACACCUGAACCUCCAUCAAACCAACUCUCUUCUCCUACUCGUCACAAUGCACCUGAACCUCCAUCAAACCAACCUUCUUCUCCUACUCGUCAUAAUACACCUGAACCUCCAGUAGACCAACCUUCUUCUCCCAUGCCAAGAAGUUUAGCACCCAUUACCAAACCUUCUCCAACCGACCUUCCUGUUCGACGAUCCAGUCGCACAUCAACCCAACCUUCCUGGCUUCAAGACUACGUAACGGGAUCCCAAGCCAAUCAUUCGACCACUGCCCAAGACCGACCGAAUGGAACCAGGUAUCCUAUGAAUCAUUUUCUUUCUAAUUCACGAUUUUCUUCUACACAUAGUGCAUAUCUUGCUAACAUCACAGCCACCAAAGAACCUCACACUUAUGCUAAAGCUAUCCUUGAUCCAAAUUGGCAAAAAGCAAUGGACGAAGAGCUUUCCGCCUUGCAGCUAAAUCAAACGUGGACCUUGACACCGUUACCCGCUGGGCAGAAACCCAUUGGAUGCAAAUGGGUCUAUAAAAUAAAGUACAACUCAUAUGGUAGCAUCGACAGAUAUAAGGCGCGCCUUGUCGCAAAGGGGUACACUCAGAUUGAAGGUGUCGACUAUUCUGAAACUUUUUCACCUACAACAAAAUUAACAACUUUGAGGUGUCUCCUCACCAUUGCAGCAGCCAUAAAUUGGUUUACUCACCAGCUAGAUGUGUAAAAUGCCUUCUUACAUGGCACAUUGCAUGAAAUUAUUUACAUGGACUUGCCACCCGGCAUCAUCGACAGGGGGAGAACAUUGUAUGUCGACACAAAAAAUCCCUUUAUGGUCUCAAACAAGCAUCUCGAACAUGGUUUUCAACAUUUUCUCAUGUGAUUAAAUCUGUAGGAUUUCAACAGUCCAAGACAGAUUACUCUCUAUUCACAAGACAGAAUAACUCAUCAUUUACUGCCCUUUUGAUUUAUGUGGAUGAUAUUCUUUUGACAGGGAAUGAUUUGACCGAAAUUCAGUGUGUUAAAGAUUGUUUAUUACAACAAUUUCGCAUUAAAGAUCUUGGAGACCUAAAAUAUUUUCUAGGGAUUGAAUUUUCCCGUUCCAAAGCUGGUAUACACAUGUCCCAAAGAAAAUAUGCACUUGAUAUUUUGCAGGAUACGGGACUCACAGGUGCUCGUCCAGACAAAUUUCCAAUGGAACAAUACCUAAAACUCACACCAGACGAUGGAGAGUUAUUAAAGGAUCCAGUCAAAUACAGGCGACUCGUGGGACGACUGAUAUACCUCACGAUUACUAGACCUGACAUAGCAUUUUCGGUUCGGACCCUAAGUCAAUAUAUACAGGAUCCACAGAAACCUCAUUGGGAUGCUGCAAUUCGAGUCCUAAAGUAUCAAAGUAUCACCAGGACAAGGAUUGCUAUUGCCAUCCGAAAACAAUUUGACAUUGACAGCUUAUUGCGACUCAGACUGGGGAGGUUUUCAGACAACUCAGAGAUCAGUAUCUGGAUAUUGCAUUUUUCUUGGUUCCUCUAUUAUCUCAUGGAAGUAAAAAAAAACAGACAAACGUAUCAAGAUCAUCAGCGGAAGCAAAAUACCGCGCAAUGGCCAAUACUUGUUUGGAGAUAGUUUGGUUGCGAUAUCUGUUGCAGGAUUUAAAGGUGCCAUGUAACUUGCCAGCUUAACUUUUCUUUGACAAUCAAGCGGCAUUACAUAUAGCAACAAAACCAGUAUUUCAUGAACGCACAAAACACAUUGAGAUAGACUGCCACAUUGUGCGAGAAAAAUUACAAGUUGGGAUAAUCAGUCCUUCAUAUGUGCCGACACAGUAUCAGCUCGCAGAUAUUUUUACGAAGGCAUUGGGCCAGGAACGAUUUUUGACGCUACGACACAAGUUGGGGUUCUUGAUCUUCACUACCAACUUGAGGGGAGUAUUAAGGAAAUAAUAAUUAUCAAAUUAUAUGCAAUUAUUGAAUGCAAUAUUUGACGAUAUUGUACCCAAUUAUAUGCAAUUAAUUUAAUAAUUAUAGAAUCUCAUUAUUAGUAUCCUACCUAAUUAGAUUGUAAUUUGAGGGAGAGAAACCCCUAUAUAUUUCCUAUACAUGAAGUGAUGUAAUAUACACAUAAGAGAAUAAGAAACAUCUCUUCUUUUUAAGUUAUUUUGCUGAAUAUGUUUGGUAUUAAUGAUGGAAGAUCCUUAUUUUUUCUUCUGUAAUUUUUCUUUAUGGAUAUUGCAAGAGCUUUUAUUAGGAUUAUUUUUGUGCAGUAGUUUUUGUAUAAGAGUUAAAGUAUAAUACCUCUAUUUAUUUACUGUUUGUGCUAAUAAAAAAAAACCUCCAAAAAUGGUAAAACUAUGAAGCCCUUUGUUGAGCAAAGCAAAAGAUAAUCAUAACCAUACCAAGAGAAGAAACAUCGUUAACUUAUAAUUAGAAACAUGUUUUUCUGAAUCGUAAACAAACUUUUAAUCAAUAUUAUAAGCAACCUAAAAAAUUAAGCAGAUAUUUAAUAUCAAAGAUAAAAUGGAAAUCUGAAAUUGUAACAGAAUCGAUAAGGCUAUAAUCGAGUAAUUUGAUGUGGGAAGUGAAGGAGUAUAAUUGGUCAGAGUAGCCAAACCUUCUUGUACAGAGUGAGGAUGGGUUUUCCAGCAUCAUCAUACAAGACACGACGGUCGUGAACUGUUAAAAGGGGACGUUUGAUAUAAAAACGAAGGCGACCAUUUGCGUCGUAAGUGGCACCUUUCUCAGUGUUAAUUUGAAGAUUGAUAGUGUAAGGAGCACAGUAGGAACUGUUGAUAACUUGGAAUGGAUUUUCCAUUGGCGAGGGAGACACAGUAUUCUGAGCUGUAUAUGAUUGAUGGAGCAACCUACGAAACCACUGACUUAUGUUCACGCUGUUAUUGCAAUGUAUGGUAUCCAUGGAUACACGCCUUAAACACGGGACUUAGUCAAACUUUAAACUGAGGCGAAAUGUCAAAUAGGUUAAAUUUUAUGAAACAAGUACGUGCGUGACGUAUGGUAGGUAGUGAAUUAGAGUUAGAAGUAGAAGAAGACUUUAGUUGACUCCAUAGUUAAAACACGGAUAUGAACAUUCCGCAAACUCGAUACCAUGCAACUCAGUCAUUUAAUAGCUUUCAUUACUGGACCCACCAUGCACCAAGGUUUUGUUUUUUCUUAUCAUCAGCUACCUUACCUAUCAGUAUUAAUUGCAAAAAUUAUUAUUAUGAUUUAAGACUUUGUUAGAAAACUAUUUCUGGUAAUUAAUUAUAAAAUUAAUAUAAUUGAUUGUCAGUUUUCUUCUCUUCCGUCAAGAUAUUUUCGUUUUCGCUCUAAUUUUUUUUCUGUCUUUCUCUCAUUUACUAUUUUCUUUUCAUUUUCUUUUAUAUUUUUCUAAAAUACAUUAUAGUAGAUCAGAGAAUAAGAUAAUGAGAUUUCACUUUUCAUUUGUUUUUUCAACUGAUGAACAAUAUGAUUUAAUAACGCCUUAAUAUGACCAUUUGAAUUUACCUGUCAUGAGUCAAAUAAUGAUAAAUUUUUUAAAAAAAAGUGUCUUUUGUAGUGCAAAAUGUGCCAAUUACUCACCAUUUUGACAUUAAAUGUCGAAAUAUACAAUUUUAAAAAAAUGUGGUAAUAUUUUUGUAAAUACUUCAAAUAUAUUUACAUCAAACGUAGUAAGAUUCAACGUAAACAUUCAUUUUUAUGUCAGACAUGUUAAUGUUAAGAUCCAAUAUAAAUAUCCAUGUUUAUGUCAUACGUCAUAUCAUUCAAAUAGAAAAAGUUAUCAUAGUAAGUUUAAUCAAAUUAACAAAGCACUACUAUCACUCUUAAUAAAAGAAAAAAGAUAGUCAAUAUUAGAGAAAUGGGAACUAAGAAAAAUUUGUUGAAUCCAACUUCAAAUAUGCAAAACAUUAAGACAUUCAAAAAAAUAAAUGUUGAAUAGAUUCUUCCUGUUUUUCACACAACAUACACAUAGAACAUAUAUAUGCAAAUCCCUAUGUUGAAUAUGUUGAUCUUUAGGAAGUCAUCAAUUAAAAACUUUUCAGAAUACUAAAAUUUUAGAAGAAAGAAUAUAUGGAUAGCAAAUGAGUUUUUAAUGACGUGGUAAAAAUUAACGAGGUUCCAAAGUAAUUAUUUAUAUAAUAUUAUUAUUUUUAUUUCUUUUCAGUUGCAUAAUCACAUUUGUUACUAAUAUAUAAAUCAACUCAAUUUUUCUCAAUCUAAAUAAUUUCAUUUUCUAUUUUUUUUCUCAUUCUUUCUUAUCGGUUAUGUAUUUUUAAUGACAUAAUUAACCUCAUGUAAUAACGAGGAUGACGGCUUAAUAAUUGUCAGUCACAAUUUUUCGGUAAAUAAAGGCAUUAUAGAUUAAAAACAUUGGUAUUAAUCCUUUUAUAAAAAAAAAAUUAAAUCAAAUAAAUUUUAAUGAUGUUCUCUAAGAUCUAACCGCUCCUUAUCCUCAACAAAAAAAUGACUUACGACACAAUACAAUAAUUUUUUUAUAAGCAUCAUCUUUAAUUCUCAUUCUCAGAUCAAUUCGAAAAUUGACAUUUAUUUUUUAUCAAAUUAUAUAUGUUUUUAAUGACUAGUGGGUAUGUUUUUUAAUCAUUUAUCAAUAUUAAUAUGUUUUUUUAUUAGUAAAUAAUAGAAUAAAAUAAAUUAGAAGAAUGUCCCAGUACCAACCUGCACCUAAUAUGUCUGAAGAAUAUAGUUUAUCAAAUACUUGGAUUUUAUGUCACCGAAUUGGUUUGGAGAGACUGAAAACACCAAGUUCAUGGUACUCCAAUAGAGGGACCAAAAGUGUAUGUGGUUGAAGUGUAGACCAAAAACAAAUAACCUCUGAAGUCAAGUCUUCUCCGCGUUUUCUUGUUUUCCACAUCCACCGUUAAAAUUUUAGAUUAUUGUUUCAAAUUUAUAAAAUCAUAAUUUUUAGAAUUAUAGGAAAAGUUAUAUAUUUAUCUCCAAUAUUAAAUUAUAGGAUUGAAAAAUAAGAAAUUGUUUGGAAUUUUAAUAAACCACUAGAAAAAUGUAUAAGUAAUUAUUUAAAUAAUAUAAAGUAUAGGAUUAAAUCAUUUAAAAUUAUUUUAGUUAAACAUGUUUAGUUUUUUUUAUCAACAAAUAAUAUACAAUAAAUUAAAAUAAAGUCUUUAAGGAAUACUCUAACUUAUAUAAAAAAUAGACUAAAAAUCCUUACAAGAAGUCCAAAAACCGAGUAAUCAGUAAAAAAGAUCUUAAAAACACCAUCAAAUCAAUCUAAUUGCUGUGUUUGCUGUGCCAAAACAGAAGCACCACAACAUAACCUUGUUGUGACUUGGUUUAUUGCAUGAUAUACGAGAGACUCCCAUCCAUCAUUGUGGUAACUCCUACUUAUUAAUUUGUCCUUAUAGAUUAAUUUAUGUGCUUUAUUCUGUUAUAAUUUUAUUUUAUGUAAAUCCUAAAUCCUAAAUCUUAAAUCCUAAUCUUAAUUGAUGUGCUUUAUUUUUUGUUGUUAUAAUUUUAUUUAUAUUUAUUUUUUUAUUCAUGCAUAUAUAUUGAGCAAACUUUCAAUUAAUUAUUUACAUUAAGUUAUUGAACUAUUUGAAAAAAAUAUUUUACAUUUGUUAAGAUGUACAGAUUAAAUCUAACUUUGGAAAAAAAUUAAACCAUUUAUUUUAUUCUUUUUAUAUACAUUUAUUUUAUCAACAAGUAAAGCAAAUAAAGUUUUAUAUAAAAAAAUUAUAAUCAAAUUCUUAUAUACAAAUUCUCUUAAUCUUCAUAAAAAACACAUAUCAGCCGGAUAAAACACUACUACAAAAAAAAUCAGUAUUAUGUACGGAUUUUUAUCAACGGAUAUGAGUCCGUAGGUAAAUUCAGCAUUACCUACGGAUAUUACCUACGAACAACAUUACCUACCGACAUUAUCCACAGAUUCUGAAUCCGUAGGUAAAUUCAACAUUACCUACCAACUAUUAUCCACGGAUCUUAUUACCUAUCAACUUUUACCUACGGAUCUCUAUUACUUACCAACUAUUACUCACGAAUCUCUAUUACGUACGAACUAUCACCCAUAAAUUUCUAUUACCUACCAACUAUUGUCAUAAUAAUUAUACACAUAAUAUUAAAAAUAUUAAUAUAAUAUGAAGAAUUAUAAAAUCAUAAUUCAUAUUCAUAAAAAAUAAUAAUCAUAACUAAUUUAUACAUAUUAUUAAUAUUAUAAAAUUAAUAAUAUUAAUAUAAUAUUAAUAAUAUUAAAUAAUAUUAAUAAUAUUAAUAAUAUUAAUAAUAUUUAAUCAUAUUUAAUCAUAUUAAUAAUAUUAAUAUAAUAUUAAUAAUAUUAAUAAUAUUAAUAAUUAUUUAAUAAUAUUCAUAAUAUUUUAUAAUAUUAAUAAUGUAUACCUAUAUAUAAAGGGGAUUCUCUCUUUAACUGCUCUCAAAUUCUUCCUAUUUUAUCCUUAUAUUUAUAUUUAGUUUUAUUUCAUUAUUUUGGGUAUUGCGUCAUUUCCUUCUUUUUAAAAAUAUUUGAAAUAAAUGGAGGAGCGGUUUUGAAUUAAAAGAGAUGGUUUAUAUUUUGAAAAUGAAUUGCUACAAAAAGAGGGAGUGUCUGUUAAGAUUAUGGGAGAGAAAUAAAUUUAAAAAUUAUUUGAAAUAAAUCGAGCAACUGUUUUGAAUUUAAAGAGAUAAUUUAUUUUGAAAAUUAACUGCAUAAUGAGAGGAGUGUCUGUUUGAUGAGAGAGAAAUAAAUAUUAGGAAAGGUGAGUAAUGAGUAGUGGCCGAACGUGAGCAAUUUUGAAAAUUCUUGAGUAUAUUGACAUUUUGUCAUUUUCCAUUAUUACUGAGCGGUUACAUAGGAGUAGUGGGUUUCAGGAGUUUUCACCGGUUACAUCCACUUCAUUUUCUCUUUUAUAUUUCGACUCCAAAGAAAAAAAUUCUCAUAAAUUUUGACACAUCUUGAACCCUCUUCCUUCACGCUCCGUGUUCUUCUCCUACUCUCACCCAUCUCACGUCCACUACAUCCAUUCCGCCUUUUCAUCGGCCUCCACUCUUUCAAAAUGCUCUCUAAGCACAAAAGAAGUCUAUAUAAUUUUGAUUAUUUAAUUGUUGGAAGAGCAAGUGGAGACGGAAGAAGUAGAAAAUGGAUAAGCUGAUCUAGGUGAAGGAGAAUCAACUAUUCUUCCCAAUCUUUUGCGACCCCUUUCACUAAUCUCAACUAGGUUGAUUCUGAUCUCGCUUGCUUGAACCCUCCAGGAGCAGGUUUCACUUUUAUUCUUUUUUUUCUCAUUCUACUAUAUUCCUUCAUCUUUACUCCCUUUAAUUGGGGAAAAAUGAUUAUUAACGUAACACUAAUUUGUUUGUUUGUUUAUUCAUGUGUUUUGUUUGAGUUUUGGUGGGAUUUUUUUUUUUCAGUGUAUGCAAGGUAAAACAAUUAUUUUGAUAUUUAGUAGUUUUUUUUUGGAUGAGUUUAGAGAGAAUGUCUCCAUUAGAACUGUAAUCACUUUUGUUGUCAUAUUAAAUCAUUAUUAUUAUCUUAUUUUAUAUUUAGUAUUAGAUCAAUCAUGGGGUUUCACUUAUUCAUAUAGUUGUUUUUUCAAUAAUGUUUGCAUAAGUGUUUUUUCUUUUAUAGUAAUGUAAUUGUAUAUCUGGAAAAUUAUGUUUGAUUGUAAUUCACCAUUAAUUAGUAUCUUUUGUCUUCCAGGUGUUAGGCAUGAUGGUUGAUAUUUCUAUAUAUUCGAUGUACAAUUUGGAAACAAAGCCUCACAAGGAAACUUCCUGCUUCUAAAACACGGGCUACUAAUGAUGAAGCAUCUGAAGAACCGGUGAUUGACCAUUCUAACAAUGUUGAGAAAAAAAAAUCUAACAAUGUUGAGACCCUCACAAAGUAGUGUUAACAAUGAGGCACCAUCAACCACUGUUGAUUAAUGUAUUUUCAUAUUCGUGGAAUGUUUGGAAAUAAAAGUAUUCCACAAUAAUAGUAUUCUUUUCUUUUAAUUCUCAUGAUUUUGAAUCUCAUACUUUUUUGUUAAUAUUGGAAAAAAGUUGAAUUUCCAUGUUAUUCUAAAGUUUGCAGAAAAUAUUGUUGGCUAACUCUGUCUCAUCGGAUUUUAUAUUUUAUUUUAUUUUAUUCUCGACUACAAUUUUUAGUUUUUGUUUAUAUUAAUUUUAUAACAAUAAAAUAUAAAGAGAUUAUAUCAGUUUUAGUUAUGCAAAGACUAAUAUUUAUUUAAUUAUUAAAGAGUGUAUUUAGGAUAGCAAAAUGUGAAAAAAAUUGAAUAAUAACAAUUAGGACAUAUAUAAUAAUUUAAAGAAAUAUUAUAUAACUAUUCCUAAUUAAUUUUAUAUAAAUAAUCCUAAUUAAUUUAUUUUACAUUCAAUUAUUUUUAAUUUUUAAAAGAUUAAUGUGGUAUAAACAUUCAAAAUCUUAACCAUGGAAGAUGAAAAAUAUAUAAGAAAAGAAAAAAAAUCAUAAAAUUAGUUAAUAGUUUUACAAUUUUAAUAUAUUUUUUUAAAGAAAUUAUUAUAAAAUUAAGCACUUUUAAUUUAUAACAAUUUAUUAUUUAAUUUUAAUAUAUUUUAAUUUUAGUGUUAUUUAUAUUUUAACAAUCUUAUGUUUGCCACUUGAAUUUAAUACAGAAAUACCGUUUAAAUUAUUAUUAACUAACUUAGUUUUUUUUACUGUAAUUUUAUUAAAAAAUAGUAUUAAAAUAUUAUAUAACCUUAUUUACAAAAUAAAUUAUUUAGUUAUUUUAAAAUAAUGAAAAAUUAUUUGAUUGUUUAUUUUAAAUUAAAUAAAUAAAUUAUAUUUUAUUUACAUAAAGAUUUUUUUGUAUAAAUAUAAUACUAUUUAAAUAAAAUUUUAUUUUUUUUAAACAAAUAAUUGUAUAUACAGUUUUUUUUAUUAAAAUUUCAAGUAAAUCCAAUCUGCUUAAAUGAAUCUUUCGCAUAUCUUUUCAUAUCUUUAUUAUAUUAAAAAAUAUAUAAUUUUAAUAUGUUAAUUUUAAAAUUUAAUUGUUUUAUGUUUUCGUAUUUUUAUUAUAUUAAAGUACAUAUAACUUUACUAUGUUAUUUUUAUAAUUUAAUUUUUUUAUGUUUUCAUAUUUUUAUUAUAUUAAAGUAUAUGUAACUUUAAUAUAUGUUAUUUAUACUUCUAUACCUAUAUAGGGAUUCCCCACUUAACUGACAUUUUAUUUUAUUUCAAUUUUAUCUUUAUAUUUUUAUUUUAUUUUAUUAUUUUAUAAAUAUAUGAUCGAAGAUAUUUUUGUGAGUAGUUUUAAUUUUAUAUCUUAAAGUGAGACUAACAGAAUAGAUAAAAUUAUUUUUAAAUUCAAAAUUAAACAUUGCAAAGUGAGACUUGCUUAGGAGCAUUGCACAAUUGCAUCUUUUUUCGUUCAUCUACAUUUUUAUCCCCAUGAAACGUUUUUUUCGUUUUCAGAAGUUAUAUUAUCAUUCCAAAACCACGAAAUCAACCAAUACGUAUUGUUUUUCAAUUAUAAAAUAGAAGAUGGAUAUGCAAUGUGUGAAUUUACUUUUUUUUUUUAAUGCAAUGUGUGAAUUUACUCUUUUUUUUAAAAUUUAUUUAUGCAUAUGGGUGCACUGUCCAUUCUUGAAUUUUCCAAAGAUUGAAAAUACAAAGAGAGGAUAGGAAGAGAAUACAGGUGUUGCAGUUGAAUGAAGAUAUCAACACAAAGCAUUUACACAUUUAUCUACACAAACAUGUAUUUAUUAAUAUAUGUAUAUUGCAUAUAUAUAUAUAUAUAUAUAUAUGUCUGUGUGUAUUUUGCAAUUUAUUCAUAAUUGACAUUCUUUAGUAGGAAUAAAAUUUGUAAAACAAUGGAACACUUAGAAGGAUGAUCGAACACUCGCAUUGAUUACGCCAAUUAACACCAAAGUAUAAUGAUUUUACAUAAUGAUGAUGAUAAUGAUAUUUUUUAUUCAUAAUAUACUAUAAAUUUAUAUUGUUAAUAUAAGUGUGUAAAUAAUAACAUUAUUUAUUUGAAUUUUUAAUAUUAAACAUAUAUAUAUAUAUAAAUGAUAAAAAUAAAAAAUGCGGAUACACAGGCGUGAGAGCACCUGUGUGCCCGCUAGUAUUUUAUAAUAUUAAUAAUAUUAAUAAUAAUAGGAAUAUUUAAUAAUAUUAAGAAUAUUUAAUAAUAUUUAAUAAUAUUAAUAAUAUUAAUAAUAAUGAUGAUAUUAAAUAUAUGAAGAAUAUUAUUAAUUUUUAUUUUAUUAAUUAAUAAUAUUGAUAAUUAUACUAAUAAGUAUAAUAAUAAUCAUAACUUGAUAAUAAAACUUGAUUGGUGUAAUGGGUAAAACUUUUAUGAACAUUUUUCAAGGGACUUGACUUUUAAUUCUAACAUUAAUUAUAAUUCUCAAUAAUAAUCAUAAAAUUUGGAAAAAAAAUAAUAUUUGUUUUAAAAAUAAAGUAUACUUUGAGUCAGUGGGUGGGUUCUUUCUAUAAACUUUUCACUAAUUAUUUCUUCUGUAGACUUUUUGCUGAUAAAAAAAUUUGUCUCUAUGUGAUUUUUUUUUAUAAGUAAAGUUAUCUCUAUGUACAUACUUAAUUGUGGUAGGGAUACUUAGUUGUUGUAUUAUUUGUGACCUUUUAUUUAAUAAUGCUGUCAAGAUGUUGCAAGUGGGGAUUGGUAUUGAACUUGAAUUAUUUGUUUUAUNNNNNNNNNNNNNNNNNNNNNNNNNNNNNNNNNNNNNNNNNNNNNNNNNNNNNNNNNNNNNNNNNNNNNNNNNNNNNNNNNNNNNNNNNNNNNNNNNNNNAUGAUCGUCUCUUUUAUACUGACGAUACUUUUUUCACACUCCACAACCGUCGUGUCUUAUAUGAUGAUGCAGAAAACCCCAUCGUCACUCUAUACAAUAAGGUUUGGUUGCUCAUGCAUCUAGCAAUACUCAUUCUCAAGUUAAUAAGUUUUAUUACUUUAAUAUUUUCCCACCUACAAAACUAAUCUCUGCUUAAAUUUUUCAUUCUAGCCACUAACCUAACCAUGGUGUUAUUAUUCUCAAUUUUUAUGCAGAUGGUGUCGUUGCAUGGCAGAUGCAAAGUUUUCAGGGGUGAAAGCACUGAUUCAUCUGAAUUGCUAUUUUUGGUGAAGAAAAUCGCGAAAUCACCUGGGAUUACUAAAUUAAACGUGUUCCUCGCAAACAACCAAGGCAAAAA